GAUGAACGCUGGCGGCGUGCCUAAUACAUGCAAGUCGAGCGGACCAAAGAGAGCUUGCUCUCUGAGGUUAGCGGCGGACGGGUGAGUAACACGUGGGUAACCUGCCUGUAAGACGGGGAUAACUUCGGGAAACCGAAGCUAAUACCGGAUGAUAAAGAGAAACGCCUGUUUCUUUUUUGAAAGUCGGCCUUGUGCUGACUCUUACAGAUGGGCCCGCGGCGCAUUAACUAGUUGGUGAGGUAACGGCUCACCAAGGCGACGAUGCGUAGCCGACCUGGGAGGGUGAUCGGCCACACUGGGACUGAGACACGGCCCAGACUCCUACGGGAGGCAGCAGUAGGGAAUCUUCGGCAAUGGACGAAAGUCUGACCGAGCAACGCCGCGUGAGCGAUGAAGGCCUUCGGGUCGUAAAGCUCUGUUGUCAGAGAAGAACAAGUACCGGAGUAACUGCCGGUACCUUGACGGUACCUGACCAGAAAGCCACGGCUAACUACGUGCCAGCAGCCGCCGUAACAC
rnacentral:rRNA from 1 species